rnacentral:misc_RNA from 1 species
GAUGAAGAACGCAGCGAAAUGCGAUAAGUAAUGUGAAUUGCAGAAUUCAGUGAAUCAUCGAAUCUUUGAACGCACAUUGCGCCCCUUGGUAUUCCGAGGGGCAUGCCUGUUCGAGCGUCAUAUUAACCACUCCCGCUUGCGGGGUCUUGGGCUUCGCCUCCGGGCGGGCCUUAAAAUCAGUGGCGGUGCCGUCGGGCUCUACGCGUAGUAAAUUUUCUCGCGAUAGGGUCCCGGUGGAUGCUUGCCAACAACCCCCAACUUCUUAAGGUUGACCUCGGAUCAGGUAGGGAUACCCGCUGAACUUAAGCAUAUCAAAAGCGGAGGA